rnacentral:sRNA from 1 species
CCAGCACCAGGCCAAGCCCCACUUGGAGUCAGCAGCAUCCCUGAAUGUGACUGCAAAGACAAGCCUUGACAAGAAAGAAACUGAGAUUAAAGACAAUGUCAGCAUAUUUUCCAUUUUUUCUUUGAACAAAAAAGAUAAUAUUCAGCAGGUGCUCUCAGUAAGGAGCAGCUUUUAAACAGGGUAUGUUUGUGAUUCUCUGCAUUCUGCAUCUAGAAAGAAACCAUGGACUUAUCUUCUAAUGCCAGAGCCAAGGAAAUCAUGCAACUGGGAUGAGCUAUUUUUGUUUCCUUUAGACUAGCCAAACUGGCAACAUGAGGCAGCUGGAGUGCUACACCUGAAGUCAAGGGACCUGGGUUUGGAACUGGAACUUAUACCAACUACUACCUAGAGAGCCUGGGCAGUUGUCAGCCGGUGAAGCCAGCUUCUCCUCCUCCUUACUACCCAGGAGAAUGUAAAGAUAAGCUCGGACUACAUGAUGGACUACAUGAGUUACUCUUCCUUCCUUCCCUAAACAUGCUGAACACCAUCUCUGUUCAUCAACAGCACCCUGCAAAAUAAGAAUGGUCUUAAUGGACUGGUAGACUGUAAAAUAUUGGUAUCUGCAACUUAUAGAAGAAAAGGUUUAUUUGGCUUACGGUUCCAGAGGACUAAGUCAACUGUGGCGGGGAAGUAUGGCGGCAGCGGCAGUGGCAGCAGCAGUGGUGGCAGCAGCAGGCAUGGUGGCUGGAGCAAAAGCUGAGGUCUCACAUCUUGAACUGCAAGGCUGGAGCAGAGGACUGGAAACAGCACGAGGCUUUGACAUCUCAAAGCCCACCCCCAGUGACAUGCUUUCUCCUCAACGAGGCACCUCUUUUUAAACCUCCCCAAACAGCCACCAACUGGGAUCAAGAAUCCAAACAUCUGAGACUAUGGGGCACAGUGUCAUUCCAGCUGUAACAGUUCUUGACUAAAGGUGAGCAAAGAGUAGACAUGGAAGGGGGGAGCUCCCUCACACAGAAUGCUAACACAAAGUCCACCAAGAGGCAAGGUCUCUGUAAGUGACAGUGCUACAAUACUGUUUUGUUUUGCGACAGGCUAGCCUUGAACUCCCUAUGAAGUUGAAGGUUACCUUAAGCCUUUGCUUCUACCUCCUGAAUGCUAGAAUUACAGGCGAGUCCCACUAUACCUGGUUUACUCAGUGCUGGGGACUGAACACAGGGCUCGGUGCACACUCUACCAGGUUACUUCUUUAACAAGAGAGCUACACCCUAGAAAUAAGCAUUUAAAAUCAAAAUUUAUUAAAAGUAAUAGAAGCCUUUUUUAGUUUCUUUAGUAGACAAUUUAUUUUGAUAAACUUGCUCAAUAACAAAAAUACAAGUGAAGAAAAUUAUGUUCACUUUAUACAGUUGUAUUAACAAUUUGUUUUGAAACUAUUAAUUGAAAAAAUGUUAUAACCAAUUAGAAAACAAUUCUUAAUAAAGUUUUGGAUAAUAUACAGUCCUUGACCACAACCUAAAGUCUCUCAAGGCCACACAACUAAAAUUCUGUGUAGACGAUUCCACCUACACAGACCGCCUUUCUCCUUCAUAUAUUUUUAUCCUUCAAAACUUUUCUAAAAGACAGCUUACUGUUUUGACUUGUGAAUGAAAAUUUAAUCCUUAAAAAAAAGAUCAAAGUGGGUUGAUAAAACAGUUACUAUGACCAGAGUAACUGGUGACUAGUAGUCUUUUAAUAAAGACAAAAUAAAUGCAACAUGUUCUUCUCAUGAAGCCCAUGAUGCAAAAUAACAGCUAAGAACAGAUCCAAAGUUAAUUUCCAACACUUUUUCAGGACCUUUCCUCUAAACCAACAGAUUGCCUGUCACCAGGACUAUCUAUUUCACUGAAGAGAUUAAACAGUGAACUCAUACAACAACACACGGAGAAAUCAAAGCUGUAGGCAAAACCCAAGAAUGUGUUUUGGUCAUCUAGAACAUUACAAAAGAAAAAGAAGGCAUCCUUCAAAAACAAAACAGAUGGAACAGAAAAUAGGUUUGUGAGAGAUGGGAGAGUCAGAAACAUUCCACCCACACACCAACAACACAGAACAUGGAUUACCUUGGAAAGAAUUGUGAGAGAUGGGAAAGUCAGAAACAUCCCACCCACACACUAACAACACAGAACGUGGAUUACCUUGAAAGAAUUGUACUAAUGGUUGCUUUUAAUGAACUGAAGGUUUUUAUCUUUACAGAUGUGUAGGCUUGUUCGAUAGGAGCUUCCCAAAAACUCAAACUAGUUCAGUCUUGUGCAAAUAAAACCUAAAAAUAGUUUUCAGCAGAUUUUACAGUGAUAUUCUUAGGCAUGAGAGAAUGUACACUCUAAGAACAAUGUAACAGACAAAAUCUGACAAAUGAUUGCACCAUAAAAGUGUUUUAUAUAUACAUUUUACAAGAUAUGAUUCCUGCUAUAAAUUAAUACUGUGCUAUGUAGUGAUCAUAGUGACCCUUUAAAAGCAGCUGCUGGCAGCUGUUUGUCCUUCCACUUACAGGACUUAGAUUAUAUGGAUGAGUUCACUUCAAUAACGUUUGGUCUGAGAGAGUUUACAAAGACUGGACUUCACACACUAUUUGAUGGGUGGUUUUAAUCCUGGGUCAGAGCGCUGAGUGGCUAGAGGGGCUUCCCCCCAUCAGCUCUUCAUGCACUGGGCUUCUAAGACAAUGAUGAAAUUAAAGACAAUUUAAUGGUUUGGGUAAUAGAUACAAAUAAAACCUAAAAUUUUGUAAUCUUACACAAUACCACUGUAAAUGAGAGAAGUAAACAGUGGGGAAAUUCAUAGCAGCUGAGAAUCUUUCUCUCCCCAUGCUCAUGAUCCAGUUAAAAAUAUUUUGAGAAACUAUAUACAAUAAAAUCCAUCUUUUUAAAGAGAAAAGCUCUUGGUCAUGUCAGUUAAUUUGAAGUAUACUUUGCUAAUACUUUUUAUCAGUGGUAUAGUGCCAACUACCAAACCUUUCCUUCAGAGUGACCCAUCUGACUGACGACUAAUCAAAGCCCAAUCCUGAAUGUCCAUAGGACAUGUAUAGUGGUGGCCUUAGAACUGCCUGGAUGGAACAGGUGGUGGAAAGUGUCCUUCCUCCGAUUGACUGCAGGGUUCUCACACUUCUAGAAGGGUCCACUCCUCCAAGGUUCCGGUAUGAGCCCAAACACUGGCUUUUCAUUCACAAUUUAAUACUGAGACAGGUGAAUAGCAAACACACUGGUGAGGACUGACUCAAGUCUUCCACUCUAGGUUGGCUCUCAAUAACCAUCCCGUGAGGGAUAAUCGAGCUGCUUAGGAAUCAUUCGUGUGUAUGAAGCUCGGGCUAUGUGGGACUUGUACUCUGUCCACCAACAGGGACACUUGGAUUGCCAUUCACUAUAGAGAGGACAAAUUCAGGCUCCACUGCCAUCAAACAUCCUUGUGACCAGAUUCAAACAAGUGUUCACCAGGAAGAAUCUCGGUGUUGACGCAGGCAUGGGAAUGUGGGGAGGAAAGGGCUCUGUUUUAAAAGUACUUGUGAGUUCAGAAUUGGCUGCAUUGCUGUUUCUAGAAAAAACCCUUAAGGCUGUGGGUUUAAUGCAGCCUUCAAACAAAUGCAAGAAUGUUAGCUUUUUAGCAAACACAGGUAUAAUGCAUAUAGAGGAAAUAUUGUAUUGCUCAAGAAUUUGGUGAAGAUCUACUAAUAAUACAGAUAAAAUGCAAUUUUUAUGGGAGAGCAGAAUUAGUGUUGUCAAUAGCCAAAACAGCCAGAUGUUUGCCAGUGACCUUAAUGUGAAGCUGUAUGCUUGAACAUAUACAAUGCACUGUUAAUGUAGCAGACUGAACCAGUGGUAAGAAUGAAUGUCUGUACAAUACAUGAUAGUUGAUACUCAUUUCAACAGUGUCAGAUUCCCCAAACUAUAAGGUUUGACAUGACCUUACCUUUACUAUCAUAUACAAAUAAAUUAAACCUAGAAAGAAUCUUUAGCUUAACUUAAAAUUGCACCUAGAAAGGUAUGGAGUUAUUUGUACCUAUUACAGAAACCUGUCAAAAUCAAGGGCUGCUACAAAGAAUGAGGUAAACUGAAGACUCUCUCCACUAUGCAGCCUUCAGAUAAAUGGCUUUUUUCUAUUGAGUUCUAGGUUGCACACCACAGUGUUUUGCUAGCAAGCAUUCA